AGACGCAAUUGGCCCAGUUGGCCCAAUUAUAGUCGGACGGUGACUGUGUGAGCCUCAGAAUUAUCCCACCUCGCUUAACUUUGGAGGAGGAAGCCACUUUAAAAGGGAGAGCCACCCUUCCCCCAUUGGACUAGUCUUUUGGGGUGAUUGGGCCUUUCCCUGAGUUGGGUGUGCUUAAUGAACUGUUGGGCUCCGGGCAACCCUAAAUUGUUGGGCCUUGGCCAACCCCACCUGGGCUGAGUGUAUCAUCUAGUAUUGGAGCUAGGGUCCAUUUUAAGAAGGUGGGAAUGCUGAGGACAUCCUCCACUAUUACCCGUUGGCAAAGACGCAAUUGGCCUAGUUGGCCCAAUUGUAGUCGGACGGUGAUCGUGUGAGCCUCAGAAUUAUCCCACCUCGCUUAACUUGGGAGGAGGAAGCCACUUUAAAAGGGAGAGCCACCCUUCCCCCAUUGGACUAGUCUUUUGGGGCGAUUGGGCCUUUCCCAGAGUUGGUGUGCUUAAUGAACUGUUGGGCUCCGGGCAACCCUAAAUUGUUGGGCCUCGGCCAACCCCAC
rnacentral:lncRNA from 1 species